AUCCAAUCAGCUGGAGGCCUGCAUAGAACAAAAACACAGGUCUUCCUGAGCAAGAGGGGCUUCUCCAGCAUAUGGCCUUUGGACUUCAUCUAUACCAUCCGCACUUCUGGGUCUCCAGCCUGCUGGCCCACACUACAGAUUUUGGACUUCCCAGCUUCCAUAAUCAUGUGCUUCCCAUUUCUACAGCCGGUUUACUGCGGUCUCCUCAUGAACAUGUUGUCAUCACGCCCAGUGUAACUGCUCCCUCCCUGCAGGAGUUUACUCUGCUACAUGGAUAAGCUAACAAAGGCUCAUCUGGAACUACAGGGUUACAUCUCUAGUGUCAUUGUAUGACACAGUGACUCAGAGAUGAUUUCCUCUUCAGAAAACAGAAGAAUUUUCUGACACAUUUAUCCAGAUUGGAUGAUAUGGAGAUGAACACCAGGACUAUUUUAGAAACUGCAUGUUGAAGACCACUGAGAUAUAAAACUUAGAAAAAAAAAGGUUCUGAAUCAAUGCCUUGUGAAGACAGUUGCACAGCUUUCAGUACUGUUACCAUAUGCGAGUGUUCAUGGGAACAGCCAUGCCUGGAUAAACCAGAUAAACUGAGGAAUCAAAAGGCAUAUUCAGACCAAGACUAAAGAGAACCUUCUUCACCUCCUCCAUACUUCUUCAAUAAGACCACUCAGGACACCUUAACUGCCUUGCUGCCUUUCUGGAAGAGAACAAUCCAAUAAUGAGAACAUCCUUGAGGAUCACAGAGUCCAGAGUCCCUAGAGAGAGGGAGAGCAAUCAUGUCUUCUAGACGGCAAGUUACUUACACAUAUGUCUAGACAGAGUCGAGCUGGAGUGCAAUGGCAGGAUCUCAGCUGACUGCAACCUCCGCCUCCCGGGUUCAAGCAAUUUUCCUGCCUCAGCCUCCUGAGUAGCUGUGAUUACAGACACCCAUCACCACACGGUGUAAAUUGUUGUAAUUUUAGUAGAGAUGGGGUCUCACCAUGUUGCCCAGGCUGGCCUUUAACCCUUGACCUUAGGUUUACAGAGCCUUAGCCUCCCAAAGUGCUGGGAUUACAGGAGUAAGCCGUUGCGCCUGGCCCUGAAAUGUGUUUUAUGAGGAUCAGGGGUUUAGGAUUCCUGUCAUUGAUCUAUACCAGCUCAAUAACAUUGGGUAAAACAUCUAACCCUUCUAAGCCCACCUGUUUUUGUGUCCUCAGAUAUAAAUCUAUUUUCAAAUGGAGAUUAUAGAAAUCACCCCUUCAUUUUAUAAGUGAAACACAUGAAGCCCACAGAGCUUGCUUAAUGUCACAGUAGUCUUUACUGUGCUUUACAGUAGUUGAGAUAAUGGAAUUUUAAAAUAACAAUGAAAAUGAAUAACAUUGUUACCAGGUAUAUGGCCUUGAGCAAUUCAUUUAACUCUUUUGGCCUCAGUUUUUUCGUCUGUAUAAUUGAGGGUGUUGAUAGUAUCAAUCACGGAAGUUAGGAUGAGA
rnacentral:lncRNA from 10 species